UACGUAGGUGGCAAGCGUUGUCCGGAUUUACUGGGCGUAAAGGGAGCGUAGGCGGACUUUUAAGUGAGAUGUGAAAUACCCGGGCUCAACUUGGGUGCUGCAUUUCAAACUGGAAGUCUAGAGUGCAGGAGAGGAGAAUGGAAUUCCUAGUGUAGCGGUGAAAUGCGUAGAGAUUAGGAAGAACACCAGUGGUGAAGGCGAUUCUCUGGACUGUAACUGACGCUGAGGCUCGAAAGCGUGGUGAGCAAACAGGAUUAGAUA
rnacentral:rRNA from 1 species